CGCUCCUCAGUACGAUAGGAACCGGAGCG
rnacentral:misc_RNA from 1 species